rnacentral:rRNA from 1 species
CCCUUAGAGUUUGAUCCUGGCUCAGAACGAACGCUGGCGGCAUGCCUAACACAUGCAAGUCGAACGAAGCCUUCGGGCUUAGUGGCGCACGGGUGCGUAACGCGUGGGAACCUGCCUUUAGGUUCGGAAUAACUCACCGAAAGGUGUGCUAAUACCGAAUAAUGUCUUCGGACCAAAGAUUUAUCGCCUUUAGAUGGGCCCGCGUUGGAUUAGCUAGUUGGUGGGGUAAAGGCCUACCAAGGCGACGAUCCAUAGCUGGUCUUAGAGGAUGAUCAGCCACACUGGGACUGAGACACGGCCCAGACUCCUACGGGAGGCAGCAGUGGGGAAUAUUGGACAAUGGGCGAAAGCCUGAUCCAGCAAUGCCGCGUGAGUGAUGAGGGCCUUAGGGUUGUAAAGCUCUUUUACCAGGGAUGAUAAUGACAGUACCUGGAGAAUAAGCUUCGGCUAACUCCGUGCCAGCAGCCGCGGUAAUACGGAGGGAGCUAGCGUUGUUCGGAAAUACUGGGCGUAAAGCGCACGUAGGCGGCGCAGCAAGUCAGGGGUGAAAUCCCGGGGCUCAACCUCGGAACUGCCCUUGAAACUGCAGUGCUAGAAUCUUGGAGAGGCGAGUGGAAUUCCGAGUGUAGAGGUGAAAUUCGUAGAUAUUCGGAAGAACACCAGUGGC